UUGAACGCUGGCGGCAGGCCUAACACAUGCAAGUCGAGCGGAUGAAGGGAGCUUGCUCCUGGAUUCAGCGGCGGACGGGUGAGUAAUGCCUAAGAAUCUGCCUGGUAGUGGGGGAUAACGUCCGGAAACGGGCGCUAAUACCGCAUACGUCCUGAGGGAGAAAGUGGGGGAUCUUCGGACCUCACGCUAUCAGAUGAGCCUAGGUCGGAUUAGCUAGUUGGUGGGGUAAAGGCCUACCAAGGCGACGAUCCGUAACUGGUCUGAGAGGAUGAUCAGUCACACUGGAACUGAGACACGGUCCAGACUCCUACGGGAGGCAGCAGUGGGGAAUAUUGGACAAUGGGCGAAAGCCUGAUCCAGCCAUGCCGCGUGUGUGAAGAAGGUCUUCGGAUUGUAAAGCACUUUAAGUUGGGAGGAAGGGCAGUAAGUUAAUACCUUGCUGUUUUGACGUUACCAACAGAAUAAGCACCGGCUAACUUCGUG
rnacentral:rRNA from 1 species